rnacentral:lncRNA from 1 species
UGGGGUUUGGAUAUGGAUUUUUCUGCAGGGCUGGGAGGAGAUAAAAGGAUCUGUAAUUGAUUGUGGUAAUGGAGGCACAACUGUGAAUAUUCUAAAAGCCACUGAAUUGUAUAUUUUGAAUGUGCGGAUUUUAUACUAUUUAAAUUAUAUCUCAAGUUGCCCUGAAAAUGAUUAAAUUACAUAUAAAACUUAUAGUCAUUACAGCUCAACAAAAGCUACCAGAUAAAAACACUCACUAUGGUUUGCGUGCAAGUGAAGAAAGUAGACAUGCAGAGAGUAGGCUGAUACAAUAGUAAUCACCUUAGUUAAGUGGGUUUGGAUUUAGUGAAAGGAGAGAUUUAAAAGUAUAUUUAUGCAUAUUUUGAUUGUUUCAUUUCCUACUGUGAGCAAGAAUUAUUUUUACACUAAAAUUUAAAAAAUAGAAAGUUACAAAUCUUCAAAGCUCUGCAGUCAAAUAAACAUAGUAACAAGUGAUAAUGAGCUGUCUGGAAUGUCUUCCUAGAGAACUGGCUGAAGCACAUGCAUGCAAAAGGAAGGCAAUGGCUGAAGAAUCAAGGCAGAACUACAGUGGUAGAAGAGAAGAAAAAUGUAAACAUGGAGAUAUAAGACAAGAAGAUGACUGAUGAAGGAAGUGGACAUGAAUACUGUGAAAACCUCUUGGGGAGUCAGAAAUGACCGGGUCUACGUGGGAGGGAAACUGGAUUACAGCCCAAGAUGGCCAGCCAUCAGGGACAGUGUCCCGAAUCAGAUUCUGUCCCGAAUCAGAAGGGCUGUCUAAUCAUUCCCUUUCUUUUCCUUCCAACACCCCAGCAAGAUUAUUGCCUAAUUUACAGCCAUGCACGUUGAAGAAUCAGUACAAUUUGGAGACUUUGAGACAACAGACAGAAAAUUUUUGAGCUCCUCUGGGCAUUAGUGAGCUGUUUUCAGAAAAACAGACUCACUCUGGUAUUUCAGGAAUAAAUAGAAAUAAGAGCAUACACUAAUGUUUGGAAACCACGGGUAGCAAAUAUUGGUG